rnacentral:rRNA from 1 species
AACGAACGCUGGCGGCAUGCCUAACACAUGCAAGUCGAACGAGACCUUCGGGUCUAGUGGCGCACGGGUGCGUAACGCGUGGGAACCUGCCCUUAGGUUCGGAAUAACUCCCCGAAAGGGGUGCUAAUACCGGAUAAUGUCUUCGGACCAAAGAUUUAUCGCCUUUGGAUGGGCCCGCGUUGGAUUAGCUAGUUGGUAGGGUAAAAGCCUACCAAGGCGACGAUCCAUAGCUGGUCUGAGAGGAUGAUCAGCCACACUGGGACUGAGACACGGCCCAGACUCCUACGGGAGGCAGCAGUGGGGAAUAUAGGACAAUGGGCGAAAGCCUGAUCCAGCAAGGCCGCGUGAGUGAUGAAGGCGUUAGGGUAGUAAAGCUCUUUUACCCGGGAUGAUAAUGACAGUACCGGGAGAAUAAGCUCCGGCUAACUCCGUG